GGUCAUUAGCUCAGCUGGUUAGAGCACUCGGCUCAUAACCGAGUGGUCGAAGGUUCGAGUCCUUCAUGACCCACCAC
rnacentral:tRNA from 1 species